GAGUGAGAGAGAGUCGGCAGCUUUGGUGCCUCAAGGAGCACAACGAUCAAGAGACGAGUCAGUGACAAGGACGAAAAUGGAAAUGCAAGUAGAUGUAGAUUAAGUUUGGAGUUGGAGAAGUGGAAACCCCGCGGCGUCUGGCAAAGGGUUAAAUGCAAAUGAAGCCAAAGCGAUCGAAGCAUUACCUUGCUUCUUUUCUACUUACUCAACAUUUUUUGGGUGGAAAAAAAGGGCCAAGGAACAGGGAACAGGGAACAGGACAUGUUCUCGCUCUCUGUGCACCCUUUUGAUAGAUCUGUUGUCCCGUUAUGGAAUUUCAUUCCUUCCUCUCUUUCUAUCUAUCUCAGGACCAACUAACUCACAUGGGACAAUCAUAUUCAUUUGCCGCCAACUUGAUUUCAUUUCUCUUCCCCUUUUCCGAUGCAGUGAUGGGAAGUUUCUGGUUCCUCGUUCCUCGAUCCUCGUUCUUCAUUCGUCUGAUUCCUGGUCAUCAGUUCGACUAACGAAUGUCCAAACAUUGAGACCUUUCUCCCCGAUUGGUGGUCGUGUAUUUAGCUUUUGUUUAGCUUGACCAAAAGGCGAAGGACAACAGACAUCGGACAUCGGACAGCGGACAAUGGGCAGCGGACACGCCUUGAGGUUUCCGCUUAUGAUUUAUGCUUAACAUUGGUUUCUCAUCAUAUCACGUCAAAUCGCAGUGUCAAAACAAACUGCUCAAUAGCGCUGAGAUGCGAGUUAUGAGAUACGAGGGUUACAACUGGACAGAACAGAUAAUAACAAGUGAAAGCAAUGCUGCGACGCUCAGUUACCCUGUAAUUAGAUUUUCGUAAAAUAUUCUCUGGUAAUGUUCAUAUAUACAUUCGAUAUUGAAAGGGUUCUUUGUUUAAUGCACUUGUUUUUGUAAUACCAAGAAAUAAAACGUAUCGUGCUAUUAAACUACAAGUUUUCUCCUGAUUUGGAGAAUAUUUCACAGAGGAGUCAAUUCGCCUAUUUGUCAAAUUUUAAUCUGCAAUUAAGUUUUAAAGAUUUUACCAAAAGUCAAGAAAUAAAAUGUAUUUACACAAAAAAUAUUCGACAUACAUUAUAUGAUCGAAACUCAUUGCAAAUAUACUUCAAUAUCUAUUAGUCCCUCAGUUCAAUGAGGAUACAAGUCUUAUGCUUAAAGCAUUUCUCAUAAAAUUUUGAGAAUAUUUCACAGAGGUAUCAAUACGGCUAUCAGUCAAACUUCAGAAGUACAUCUUGACUAUAGUAGCUGUAAUUAAGAUUUAAAAAUUUACUCAAAAGUCAAGAAAUAAAAUGUAUUUAUACAAAAUAUUCGACAUACAUAUUUGUAAUUGAUUAUAUCAUCGAACUGCAUUGCAAAGAUACUUCAAUAUCUAUUAAUCGCUCAGUUCAAUAAGGUUACACAGACAAUCUAUUCAAGUUGAAAAUUCCCUUUUGUUAAAUCAGCAACAGGGUAGACAAAAGCAAAACUGACCAAAAAGCGCGUGCCGUGAUGCAAAUAUAUAAAAACCAACAACAAGUAAAACAGGCCAAGGCAAGGCAAGGCAAGGCAAGGAAAACAAAACGUGAGGAAAAACUGGACAGACAGACAGACAGACAGACGGUCAUUUUCAUUUAUGAGUGCAACCCUUUCGGCAAUGCAGCAGCAGUUGGUCAGCAGCAGAAGCAAAAGCAGCGGAAAAUGCGCCAUGGAUAUCAUAUGGAAAUCGUAAAUUGAAGGUAUUCGAAAAUAUCCUAAUUGUAAGGAAAUUUGAGCAGAAGAAAAGUUUAAAACUUUGCUGACACAUAACAAUGAUAACCAAAAGCAACUUGAAAUGGAUUUGUUAUUCUGGAUAUAUUACAUAUUAGUCAAAGAGUGGAUAUGGGUAAAUGUGAAAAACUCAUAGACGGAAACAAUUUGAAAAUAAGUAAAUGUUAUUAGAGUGUCGCACUUGAUAUUUAGACCAAAUAACUAAAAUAUAUAUGUUAUGUUUAGAUUGCAUUUGAUAAUAUAUUGAAAUUUUGAUUAAGUUACUAGUAAACUUGAAUGAAGGAAAAGUUUCAAUGAUAUCUCCAUAGUGGACUUUUAGUGGAUCUGCUUUACAGUCAAGAUCUAUGAUAUAUGAGGCCUAAAUGAUUGUUGACUUAGAGCGAGAAAAGGUGGCAAAAAAAAAAACAAAAGAAGAAGCUGAUUAAUGGCCAGCUUGGGGCGUCGCAUGGAAAGUGAGAAAAUGAGAAAAUGAGAAAUCACCGUGUUAGAUUGCCAUGGCAAACAAUUUGAACAAUUUGAAUAGUCGAAUCGACUGUCUUUUGGUCUGGGCCGCAAUGUAAAUGUUGAAAUUGUUGCGCCUCCUCAGCGAAUGUCCCGUGUCCUGAAUCCAGUUCUCUCCGGCAAAACAGGAUGGCAAAUGGACACAGAGAGGAACUUCGAGGAAAAAAAAACGAGCAAUAGGAAUAGGAAUAGGAAUUGGAAUAGGAAACAGGCAUUCAAGGCAGUUAGACAGCCAAACAUUGAAGCAAGCAGGCAGGCAAUUAAUGCGUCAGUUGCACCGAAGCGGAAAACUGGUUCGCAACAUUUUUGGAAAUUGAGAAAAACACGACAGAGCGAGCGAAAGAGAGAUACAGAGUGAGGGAGAGAGCGAAAACUCGAAACUUUGUGCGCUACAUUUGAGCAUUCGACACAGGCUGGCGGAAGGAAAUGAAAUGAACUCCUUGCGCAGGAUUAGAAGUCCUGCUGCCAGUUGGCAGGUAUUCUCAGUGUCCCAUCUGAGAGCAGUGGAAGAGGAAUAGAAAUAGAGAGAGGGGGAGAGGGGAGAGAAGAGCACAGAGCAAUAUACUGCUAUUGAGAUUAGCAGUGGAAAGUACAAAAUUUAUGUCAUAUGAUUCAUCAAAUUUCUUGACAAGGAUUUCAUUUCACAAUUCAAAAAAGUUUGUAAUUUCAUCAGUGUCUUAUAAAAGAAAAG